rnacentral:rRNA from 1 species
UACGGAGGAUGCGAGCGUUAUCCGGAUUUAUUGGGUUUAAAGGGUGCGCAGGCGGCCUGUUAAGUCAGCGGUAAAAGCCCGGGGCUCAACCCCGGCGAGCCGUUGAAACUGGCGGGCUGGAGUUGGAGAGAAGUACGCGGAAUGCGCGGUGUAGCGGUGAAAUGCAUAGAUAUCACGCAGAACUCCGAUUGCGAAGGCAGCAUACCGGCGCCCAACUGACGCUGAAGCACGAAAGCGUGGGUAUCGAACAGG